CCUAGGUGGUGGUAAGUGUCGGAGGCCUGAGAAACGCUAGUCUAUUGGCUGGAAUGUUGUUAUGGAGUGUUUAUGAGGACAAGUGGCACGGGAUACGUACAUCUAAAGAAACAAGAGUGGAUCUACGCCAAGCUAGCUACCUAGAUAGCUGCUCUUUCUAAUCUAUUUCUGUUGCUAAAUUAUGUUUGUUAAGAAGUGGA